rnacentral:rRNA from 1 species
CGCUGGCGGCAUGCCUUACACAUGACAAGUCGAACGGUAACAUGGCCGCAAGGUGCUGACGAGUGGCGAACGGGUGAGUAAUACAUACGGAACGUGCCCGAUCGUGGGGGAUAACGCAGCGAAAGCUGUGCUAAUACCGCAUACGAUCUACGGAUGAAAGCGGGGGAUCGCAAGACCUCGCGCGGACGGAGCGGCCGAUGGCAGAUAAGGUAGUUGGUGGGGUAAAGGCCUACCAAGCCGACGAUCUGUAGCUGGUCUGAGAGGACGACACAGCCACACUGGGACUGAGACACGGCCCAGACUCCUACGGGAGGCAGCAGUGGGGAAUUUUGGACAAUGGGCGCAAGCCUGAUCAAGCCAUGCCGCGUGCAGGAUGAAGGCCUUCGGGUUGUAAACUGCUUUUGUACGGAACGAAAAGGUUUCUUUUAAUACAGGGAACUGAUGACGGUACCGUAAGAAUAAGCACCGGCUAACUACGUGCACAGCAGCCGCGGUAAAUACGUAGGGUGCGAGCGUAAAUCGGAAUUACUGGGCGUAAAAGCGUGCGCAAGGCGGUGAUGUAAAGACAGAAGUGAAAUUCCCCGGGCUCAACCUGGGGAACUGCCCUUGGUGACUGCCAUCGCUGGANUGCGGCAAGAGGGGGGAUGGAAUU